rnacentral:tRNA from 1 species
GAGGAGAUGCCGGAGUGGUCAAACGGGGCAGACUCAAAAUCUGUUGGCUUCAGCCUACGGGGGUUCGAAUCCUCCUCUCCUCA